rnacentral:rRNA from 1 species
CACGUAGGGCGCAAGCGUUGUCCGGAAUUAUUGGGCGUAAAGAGCUCGUAGGCGGUCUGUUGCGUCCGCUGUGAAAACUCGGGGCUUAACCCCGAGCCUGCAGUGGAUACGGGCAGACUAGAGGUAGGUAGGGGAGAAUGGAAUUCCCGGUGUAGCGGUGAAAUGCGCAGAUAUCGGGAGGAACACCGAUGGCGAAGGCAGCUCGCUGGGACGGUACUGACGCUGAGGCGCGAAAGCGUGGGGAGCGAACAGG